rnacentral:misc_RNA from 1 species
UCUCAGCACCGUUGCCGCCGAAGUUUUAUCACAGAUUGUGAUAAUUUUGUAGUGGGGUGUCGGAGAACCGACUAAUUACGAUAAUAACAAUGGGGGGGGGAAGAAAGGGUUAAAGAAAUGAGAUCGAAAAUUCAGAAAGUGCAGUGUUGCAACACGUAGUCAAUUGAGGAAUAGAUAAAGAGAAAAAGGUAAACAAUGCAUGUGCUUUGCGUGGGAAAUAAGUGGAAAGACACUAAAUAAAAUAGAGACAAGCACUUGCAGAAAUAACAAUACAGGUAAGUAGCAGACUGGAGUGGAGACGACGGAAAACAGGUAAUAAAAGAGAUACUACACUGGAACAAAGACGAGACAAAACAGCUACAGGGAAGACAAGAAGCAUCGGCCGGCAUAGCAAAACACAAUGCUUGUAAAGACAUUGCGUUGCAUACCGGCCGACCCCGUCGUCCCCCCUGGUCGUCGAAAUUGGCGCCAUCCGAGGUCGUCAGAGGUAGCUGCAAUUAGCACCUCGUCGUCGUUGUGGCUGUGGCUGCCCGCUUGGAGAACCAGUGGCACUGGUCCGGCCACCAGCUGGGAGCCAGGAAAAGACGGCACGCAUAUUACUGUGGCGACACGGGUCCGGCCGCCAAAGUGAAAUGGAUGACCAUAGGGCACUCUGAAUGCCAUGGCACUGGAUCCGGCCACCAGCUAAGGACGAUGGCGGACACGACACACAUCUACACGAACGGCACAGGUCCGGCCGCCCAAGUGUAAUGGAUGUUUGUUGGCAGAGAUGUGUCCAAUCAGUACACAGCGUUCCAGGAUAUCUGGUUGUCAAGAUGGUACCUCAUGUUGCGGGCGUAGGCCUUAAUGUCAUCCAUGGAGUCGUCAUCUGUCCACAUCUCAUCGUCAUCAUUUUCUUCGUCCG